UUGUGCCAGCGCGUGGCUCGCGGGAUCUACGCGCUGGAAUCCCGAAUGCACUACUCGCCAGAACUCGUUCUGCUCCUGAAGAGGCUAGACAGAGUGAAGCUGUUUUGGGCAAAAUAAUCAGCAGGCCACUGAGGCACAUCUUGGGGUGGCUUGUUCUGGACCCCACCUCCCUGCCACAAGCCAAAGUGACACUUAAAUAGAUCAACAUUGUAGAGAUGGAGAGGAAGUUGUCCUUCUGGUUGUGCAAGGAGGCAAAGUGUAUCUACCUACACUUCCAUCUUGGCCAGAAGUCCAAAGACAAAAUCUUAAAAGCAGCAAGAGAAAAGCAGUUAGUUACCUACAAAGAAGCACCCAUAAUACUGUCAGCUGAUUUCUCAACAGAAACUUGUAGAUCAGAAGGGACUGGCAAGAAAUAUUCAAAGUGAUGAAAAGAAAAAACCUAUAAUCAAGAUUAUUCUACCCAGCAAAGUGUUAUGUAGAAUCAAAAAACAGAUAAAGAGCUUCCCAGACAUGAAAAAGCUAAAGGAGUUCAUCACCACUAAGCCAUUAUAUUAAAUGUUAAAGAAUCUUCUUUAAGAAAUAAAAAAAGAUAAAUAUAUAUUUAUAUAUACACAAAAAUGGUAAUAAGUACAUACCUAUCAUCAAAUGAAUCUAAAAAAUCAAACAAACGAACAUGCAGAAUGGGAAUAAACUCAGAUACACAGAACAUUUUGAAACUUGCCAGAUGGGAGGGGUGUUGGAGGGAUGCAUAAAAAAGGUGAAGGGAUUAUGAGUACAAAUUGCUUGUUACAGAAUAGUCAUGUGGAUGUAAAGUAUAGCCUAGGGAAUAUAGUUAAUAAUAUUGUAAUAACUAAAUGAAGUGUCAGAUGGGUACUAGAUAUAUUAGGAUGAUCAACAGUAAGUUAUAUAAUGUCCACUCACCGGGUGUACACUUGAAACUAAUACAAUAAUACAUGUCAACUGUAUUUUAAAAAAUGAUUUAAUAAUUAAAAGAAUAAUGAAUACCAGUAUAUAUAAGGAUGAUGAGUUAAAGAAACCAGACAGAAUACAGACUGAUUCCAUUUAUAUAUAUUUUUAAAAAAACCUACUCUGAGGGGCAUCAGAGAUUUAUCUGCCAUCAGUGAUUUAUUUGGGAAAGGCCAUGAAGGAAGCUUUGUGGAUACAGGAAUGUUACAUAGCUUGACCUGCGUGGUAAUUGUGCCAGUGUGUUCAGAUGUAAAAUUUUAUCAAGUCACACCUAAGAAUUGUACACUUUAUGCUUCAGUAAAAUAAGGGAGGAUAUUUAAAAUAAAAAAAUAUCAACAACUUAAAAAUUUUUUAAAUCAUGACCUUUACAAAGCAAAAGAAUUUUAAAUACUGAAAAAUAAAUCUGACAUAGUAUUGCAAAAUGUAUACAUUGAGGAUUAUAAACCAUUACUGAAAUUAAAGAACA